UCUGAUUCUUCUUCUUCUUCUACUAAUCUUUCUUUCUCUUUCUCUCUCUAUAAUAACACAAUUGAGGGGCGAGAGAGUAACCGAAUCUCUUAUUCUAUCACAGGUUCAGUAGUGAUUAUAAUUUGGGCCGGGUUGAAAUUUUCAUUGGCAAAAUUACCCAUCGUGUAAACCCCUAAAAAAACAACAUGGGUUUUCGCUAAAACAUCUUUUUUUCAAUUGAAGACAAGUUUGUUCCUUUCUCUGAAAAAGAGACAUGAGAAGAAAAAUAGGGGUGGUGAGGAACAAUGUCCAAGUCUUGAAAGGGACAUUGUCUCAGUGAAUCUGAUUGUGUUAAGUAUGGUCAUUAUAAAGGGUUCACAAGGCAUAGUCACCAGAUCGGCAGAUUCUAUCAUUAACCACGUAUCAUGUAACGAAUUCAGUGUACCAUGUACUAGAGUCAUCUAAAGGAAGUCUUGUAAUAAUAAUGUUAAAAAGAACGGACAAAUACCUAAGCCCGUGCCAGAUAUUUGAUGACUAUGGUUAGGGGGGAUUAUAUUGAAGGUUAUUUACACAUAUAUCCAUCCAAGAUGGGACAUAACACAACCCUCACACCUAGGAAUAAAUAUAUGAAGCAUGGAGUGUGAUGCAUGUAACAUCUGUGAGUGACCCAUCAUUGAAUUGAGGUAGACUUUGAUAGGAUACUUAG